rnacentral:rRNA from 1 species
GGGGAAUAUUGGACAAUGGGCGCAAGCCUGAUCCAGCCAUGCCGCGUGAGUGAUGAAGGCCUUAGGGUUGUAAAGCUCUUUCACCGGAGAAGAUAAUGACGGUAUCCGGAGAAGAAGCCCCGGCUAACUUCGUGCCAGCAGCCGCGGUAAUACGAAGGGGGCUAGCGUUGUUCGGAAUUACUGGGCGUAAAGCGCACGUAGGCGGAUCGAUCAGUCAGGGGUGAAAUCCCAGAGCUCAACUCUGGAACUGCCUUUGAUACUGUCGAUCUAGAGUAUGGAAGAGGUGAGUGGAAUUCCGAGUGUAGAGGUGAAAUUCGUAGAUAUUCGGAGGAACACCAGUGGCGAAGGCGGCUCACUGGUCCAUUACUGACGCUGAGGUGCGAAAGCGUGGGGAGCAAAC